rnacentral:lncRNA from 1 species
CUUGAGGAACCAGGGUCUAGCUCCCUUGUAUUACAGAUGAGGAAACUGAGGCCUGGAGAGGCUAAAGGUCCAGGAGUAAGUUAAUGAUGGACAUUAACUGAAAAAUAGAACUUGGGCCUCUGAAUCAAUCAUCCUGUGUGCUUUCUACUUAUUCUCUUUGGAAUCGCAUAUGGAAUUUCACUCAAAUGUCUGCCUUCAUGAAGACGUCUCUUACAUAAACUGAAGGCUGUCUGUAAGUAGCCGUCCGGAAAUUUUCCACUGUGUCCAACCUGAGAAGUUGUUAAUUGGGCUUGAGGAUUUCUCGGCCAGAUCCGCGCUCACUUGUUGGCGGCUCUGGGGCCCUGGGCCCAGGACUGGAGCAGAAUGACAAUGGAGCUGGGAGGCGGGUUGAGAAGAGAACCUGGUUGUCCUCUGAGGGAAAAACCAGUGUUCAAUGAAGCUUUGCUGAAUACCCAUAAU